GAUGAACGCUGGCGGCGUGCUUAACACAUGCAAGUCGAACGAAGCAUUUGCGACAGAUUUUUUCGGAAUGAAGUUGCUUAUGACUGAGUGGCGAACGGGUGAGUAACGCGUGGGUAACCUGCCUUGUACUGGGGGAUAGCAGCUGGAAACGGCUGGUAAUACCGCAUAAGCGCACAAUGUUGCAUGACAUGGUGUGAAAAACUCCGGUGGUAUAAGAUGGACCCGCGUCUGAUUAGCUAGUUGGUGAGAUAACAGCCCACCAAGGCGACGAUCAGUAGCCGACCUGAGAGGGUGACCGGCCACAUUGGGACUGAGACACGGCCCAGACUCCUACGGGAGGCAGCAGUGGGGAAUAUUGCACAAUGGAGGAAACUCUGAUGCAGCGACGCCGCGUGAGUGAAGAAGUAAUUCGUUAUGUAAAGCUCUAUCAGCAGGGAAGAUAGUGACGGUACCUGACUAAGAAGCUCCGGCUAAAUACGUG
rnacentral:rRNA from 1 species